GUUGAUAUAUACCUUUUGUUGCUGGUGAAAAGUCUAAUUAACUAAGUUUAAUCAAUCAGUUAGCUAGGCUUUGUAGAUAAUUAAUUAGAGUCUGCGAAGGUCGUAGGUUCGACUCCUAUUAUCGGCACCA
rnacentral:tRNA from 1 species